AUCGCUUCUCGGCCUUUUGGCUAAGAUCAAGUGUAAAAAUAUAUAUAUUUUAUUGAUUUUUCACAGAGCGGAAGAGAGAGGGAUAGAGAGUUAGAAACAUCGAUGAGAGAGAAUCAUCGAUCAGCUGCCUAUUGCACACUCCUACCGGGGGUGUGCCUGCAACCAAGGUACAUGCCCUUGACCGGAA